GACAAAUUUCAAGAAAUUUCAAAGAAAAAUGCACUCAAUAGAGAACUUGCGGGGCCAAUACAUAGGACCGGAAGGACUUCGAUGCCUAACUUCAAAAUAAAAUUGGCAGCUGAUGGAAAGUCAACUGAUCCCUUAACAACAUACAUUGAGGCUCGUUCUAAAAAUGGAGUUCCAG